rnacentral:rRNA from 1 species
UCGGGAGGAUUCGGUGCUGAAGGGAAGCCGAAGAGUGAACUACCUGGGAAGUAUAGUCGCAAGAUCGAAACUUAAAGGAAUUGGCGGGGAGACAUACAACGAGUGACGCGUGCGGUUCAAUCAGAUUUUACACCGUGAACCUCACCAGGAGCGACAGCAGGAUGAAGGUCAGUCUAAAGGGCUUACCUGACACGCUGAGCGGAGAUACAAAGCCGACGUCAGCCUGUGCUGUGAAGUGACCUGUUAAAUCAGGUAACAGGCGAGACCCGUGUCAAUAAUUACUACAGGAAUGGGUACUUUAUUGAGAUUGCCUUGGUAACAAGGAUGAAAGUGCGGGCUACGUUAGGUGGCUUGUCCCUAAUCCCCUGGGCUACACGCGCGCGGCAAUGGUAUGUUCAAAUGGAUGCGACUCCGAGAGGAGAAGCUAAUCCCCUAACGCAUAUCUCAGUCCAGAUUGAGGGUUGCAACCCACCCUCAUGACGAUGGAAUUCGUAGUAAUCGGAUAUUAGCAUUGUCCGGUGAAUAAGUCCCUGUCUCUUGCACACACCGCCCGUCAAACCAACCGAGUUGUGUAGGGGUGAAGCCCGUUUUGGGAAGAACCUUUUCACGACAAGGUAGGUUAAGUCGUAACAAGGUAGCC